rnacentral:sRNA from 14 species
CAAAAAUAAGGUUAUAUCCCGAAAUAGUGCAGCUGAUACAGGCAUACAACUGAGAAAUGCAAAUGAGAAAUUCGAGGGGGGUCGUUUUGCUCAUAAAGGGUGU